AACGCACAUUGCGCCUCCCAGUAUUCUGGGAGGCAUGCCUGUGCGAGCGUCAUUUCAACCAAUCAAGCCCAGCUGCUUGGCGUUGGGAGCCUGCGGGAGACCGCAGCUCCCCAAAUUCAGCGGCGGAAGUCCUGUUGACCUCGGCGUAGUAGUAAACAUCUCGCCGGGAGAUCGACGGGCUCGUCCUGCCGUAAAACCCCCAAACACCAGAACGGUUGACCUCGCAUCAGGUAGGACUACCCGCUGAACUUAA
rnacentral:misc_RNA from 1 species